UUAGGAAGUUGUUUAAAAUAACUGCAGUAGGUAUUUUUUGAAAAUUAUGCCAUGCAAACACAUAUAAAUGUAUAUUAUUUAUGAAGUAUUGGUUUCUUUGGGGGAACUCUUUCUGUCCCCAUAAUCUUGAAAUGCAGAUAGUUGCCCUGUGACUUUGAAGGAAUUGUGUAUUUUGUGACUGUGUAUUUUGAAGGAAUCUCUAAGAUUGUCACUGCUGAAGAAUGCAUUUCCUACUGGGCUGUCAUGGUACUAUUCUUUUUUUCCCUGGCUUGAGUCUCUUACCAGUAGAGUCAUGACUUUUUCUAAGUAGGCUCCAUACCCAGUGCAGAGUCCAACAUGGGGCUCAAAUCCAUGACCCUGGGCUGAGGUCAAGACAUAGAUGCUCAACCGACCAAGCCACCCAGGCACCCUCAGAGUCAUGACUUUUUAAUUAGACAACAACACCACACUGCCUGUGGAAGAACAUCAUUUAAAUCCAUGCACAAAGCAUGAUGAAUGUCUUGUAACCGAUCAAGCUUCUCUCUCUGUGCUAGCAACUAUGAGCCUCAGAGGCAGAGUUGGGGCCCAACCUUGAUAAAUGUCUCAUUCUUUAUUCUCAUCAUUUUUUCAGUUUCUUGACUUAUUAUUUUACUGUUAUGGGCUGAAUUUUGUCCCCCCUAAAAUUCAUAUGUUGAAGAACUAGCUCCUGGUACCUCAGAAUGUAACUGUAUUUGGCGACUGGGUCUUUAAAGAGGUAAUUAAGUAAGAUGAGGUCACUAGGAUAAGCCCUCAUCCAAUAUGAUUGGUGUCCUUGUAAGAAGAGGAAAUUUUGGCACAAACCUGUACAGAAGGAUGACCAUGUGAAGUCACAAAAGAUGGCCAUUUGCAAGCCAAUUAGAGGCCUCAGAAGAAACCAAUCUAAACUGUGAGAAAAUAAAUUCCUUUUGUUUAAGCCUCCCAAUCUGUGGGCCUUUGUUAUGGGCUGCCUUGUAUGUCUACCCCCAGCUCCCAAAGCCAGGAAGAUACAUCUUACCAGAAACUGACCCUGAUAGCACCUUGAUGUUGGAUUUCUACCCUCAAGAACCGUGAGAAAAUAAUUUUCUUCCUGUAAUUAUUAGACCCCUAUUUCUCUGAGUGGUGCUUAGGGGUAAGCAAGUCAAUGAAAAUGGAACUCUGAUUUUGAGGAGGAGUGGGUUAACCUGGAGUGGAUGGAGCAGAAAAUGGUCUGAGGUCCAACCCAACACUACUAUGUCAUAGGGACAUUUUUGCCAUUCACAGUGCAAUAGACUGAAUGUUUGUGUCCCCCCAAAUUCAUGUGUUGAAAUCCAACCCUCAAUGUGGUGGUACUAGGAGGUGGAGCCUUUGGGAGGUAAUUAGGUCAUAAGCCCUCAUAAAUGGGAUUAGUGUCCUUAUUGAAUAGAUGUCAAAGAGCUCUCUUGCUCUUUUUCUGCUGUGUGAAAAUACAGUGAGAAGUUGGCAGUGUGCCUCCUGGAAGAGGGUUCUCACCAGAACCCAGUCGUGCUGGCACACUGAUCUAGGUCUUUCAACCUCCAGAACUGUGAGAAGUAAAUUUCUGUUGUUUAUAAGCCACUCAAUGUAUUUUGUUAUAGCACCCAGGAACUAAGGCACACAGGAAAUGACAAGACUUGGUCUUUUCAGCUCUUGCAUGGGAGCCUUAGUGGCGAUCCAGUCCAGUGACAGUCCAAAAGGAUUCAUUUUAUUUUUAUUUAUUUUUUAACGUUUGUUUAUUUUUGAGACAGAGAGAGACAGAGCAUGAAUGGGGGAGGGUCAGAGAGAGAGGGAGACACAGAAUCUGAAACAGGCUCCAGGCUCUGAGCGGUCAGCACAGAGCCUGACGCGGGGCUUGAACUCAUGGACCGCGAGAUCAUGACCUGAGCUGAAAUCGGCUGCUUAACUGACUGAGCCACCCAGGCGCCCCUAAAAGGAUUCAUUUUAAUGUGAAUCUGCUGCCUGCCACAUCUACUCUGAGGUCCAUGCAAUGAGGUCAAGAGGAUUAUGCUCAACAUUCUAUUAUGCUUCUGUUUUUCUGGCUCACUCAGAGAUCAUCCAGAAUAAGAGGCUGGAAAUAUGUUGAUAAAACAUAGCACAUGACAUACCCACAGAAAAAUGAAUUGCAUGUCUGCUUACCUGAUUUUGCUUACUAUGGGAAUCUUCAAUCAGUCUAAGGUACCUGGUAUAGGAACACUAAAAAAGUCAACAAUUUAAUGCUGUUUGAAAAAAAAUUGGCUACUCCCAUCAUUUGUUUUUGUCUGCAUCUAGAUAAUUUCAUAUAUCUGGAUGAAAAGGAACAAAUUCUACCAACCAUCAG